AGCUUCUUCCUGCAAUACUAAUGACUCAUAUGAAGCUCCACAUUCUGGGAAACCAGGCUGGGUAUUUUGGAGGAAAGGCCUUUCUCUGGAGAGAUUUCAGGCACUUUCACUCGAUUGCAGCUACAUCACUGGCAAUUUUAUUUCCACAGUUGUGAUGAUCCCAGUUGAAGAAUUACCUGACAUUGUGAACAAGGAUAUUGCCAUCUAAUCCUGUCACAUGCAGCCCCUGCGGCAGAACUGGGAGCUGAACCCAAGCUUCCCAUCCCUGGCCGGUCACUCAGACACAAGGUAAUUUUUCCCUAUGACAGGUCAAACCUGAGCACCUCUUGGUCAGGUCAUUGAAAAUGAGCACAGGUGUCCCCAGCCUAACUUCCCAUGCAAUUAAAUUCAUGCUGAGUCUGCUGUGGUGCUUGGCAAUCCUAGACUUCAUCUUUGGGCCACAGAAAACCUGCCUUCAUGGGCACAGAUUUUGAAGAAACAGACAAUUCAAGGAGAAUCUCCACUCACCUUGCACUUAAUUUCCAGUCCAUUUCUUUGCCUGUAUAUACUGCCACUUGCAUAAACUCAUGUGUAGUUGUCACAAAGCUAGAAAGGGAGAAUGGAUUGGGGUGAAAGUGGCCUAAAGUGUCUUCUAUCUGUGUGUGCAACACACACAUUUUAAUAUAUUUAUAUAACAGUGUAUAUUUGUAUAUAGUUUUUUUUAUUUAUGCAUAUAUAUAUAUAUGUACAUGUGUCAAAUUGAGAGUCUACCCUUAAAAUCUUAGACUAAUUCUAGGCAAAUUUGUUACAGAGAUGGAAUAAAUAGGGAAAAUCAUUUUUCAGGCUUGCUGCGGCAGACUGGUUGCAGUGUCUAAUGUCUAAUUCUCAGAGAAGAGGUCCUGUUCAACAAAGGGCCAGCUGCCACACAGGUUCUUGGGUCACUUAUUAUGGGAUCCACAUUUUCUUAUGUCGGCUGUUUCCUGAACUUAUUACUAGGUUGUAAGGUAAGAUUUCAUCCUGUAGACUUUGAUAUAUACCUAGGCAUAGCUAUAUCAAUUGAGAGAAUGUCAAAAGAUUCAUAUGCCUAACUUAAAGGUCCUGGUGUUUUCCCCAUGACUUUCCUGGAAGGUGCACUGAGAGUGUGCUAACACCAGGAAUUAUUGAACCUGUGAUGUUUGCUGUGAACCUGGACAUCUGUCUGAGGUAUCCUUGGCACUGAUUAUUCUGAUAUAAGGUGUGCCCAUGUGUAUGCUCAGUGACCCAGGAUUUUCAGAUACACAGAGGUAGCUCUGGCUUGGCAGCUAGACAUCUGGAAAUCCUGGACACCUGACCAGACUUCAAAUUUAACCUGAAAGAAAUAUCCAGGGGAAAAAUGAAGGCUUGUCAGAGAAACUUGGAUAUGUAACACCCGCCUUGGUGUAGCUUUACAAUACAAAAUCGAAGACUAAAACAGAUAUAUGCAAAGAAGAAUACAGAAAAACACUAUUUUUCUUUUUUCAACAUGUGAAAAAUAUUUCUCUUACAAGAAUAACUUAUCCUACUGAAGAAAACAGCAUAAAAUGUACUAGGACUCCCAAAGGGGCCCGUUGAUAUCAGCAAACCCACCCAAAAGCAGUCACUUAAGGAGUUACUAGAUGUUUUCCAGAGUCAUCUGAGCUUCUGGGGUUUUCAGUCUGAAAUUCUGUUUCCAGACAUCUAACCCCUGGAUACUGUACAACUGCUGAAAAUGUUUAUUUUGAAUUAAGAGACUCGUUACUGAAGCUACUAGAGGACUUCUGUACAACAACAGUAAUCAACAUUUCCCUCAAAGCGAAAUCAAACACUCGCCAAAUGUUUGGGGGCAAGGCACUGUUUGUGUAUGAAUUAUAACUAAUGUGGAAUUGAAAGGGAAUUGCUCUGUUCCCAGGUUAAGCGCUGCUGGUGAAAUUAGCAAAUGUGAUUCCUUUUUUCCCUCAAGGCAUGAAGCUGGAGAAAAAAGCAAGAAGAGAGGGAAGCAGCUUCUGCAUUUUUCUUCUAAUCAGCCAUGCGUAUUAGCGUAUAAGGCAAGACAGGAAGGUAAUAUGAGAAUCAGGCAAGCAGCCAGAUGACAUUGUGUAAGGCAUCUUUGUAUAACUGCCAGCUAGUGUCUUAUAAUAUUGAACACUGAAGUUUCUAUUUAGCAGUGUUGAUUGAAUGGUGGAAAAAAAAAGAAAUCCAGGCAAGGAUAAUGUCUGUAAUCAGCACUGCACGAUUGCUAUUGUCUAUGCUUGGUAUACUUAAUGGAGAAGCUAAUUACCAUGUGUUCAUUUUUUUUUAUUACGUUUACUAUAUUGCAUGGAGAAGUAAUAUGAUUUUUUUUUUCCUCCAUGGGUUUACAGAAAACAAACAAUACAAACAAAAACAUGAUGGACCCCCCCGCCUCCACCCCCAGCCCUAAUUAAUUCUCAUUAGGGCCACCGUUUUUAUUUCCAAGAGGAAGUCAGAAGGCUAGGACAGCAUGCCUGAUGAGCUCACUAGCCUAGCCCAGUGUGUGCUUGGACGGGGCUGCUGAUGUGUUUGAAUGUGACAGGAAGGAAACGGCGUAAACCCAAUGCACAGUCGUUCCAUUUAACUUCUCUGAGAUGCAUUCAUUUUACCUACUACUUCCCAUGCAGCUUUAGAAAAACAAAAGGGCAAAGUACCCCUGAAAAGUGGUGGAUUGACAACUUCUUUCUGCAUGGCUGGAGAGGAGCAAUACCGUGGAAGCAUACCCCAGGAUGACAUGACAGUGUCCUAAGAAUUUUUGACCGAGUCCUGCAGUAACUAGGUGUGAGAACUUCUGGCACUCUGUUCCUCAGACCAUCCCCUAUGCCUGCUCAGUGUAAACGAGCUGAGUUUACUCUCUCACUGACUGCUGUCGAGGGGCACCUGCCACCGCCAGGGCAGGCAGACAGAAGUCCCUGCAAGACAGUGCCAGUGGCUGUGCCUCCUAACCCCUGGCCUUGUGGAUAGGACUCUCUCUUGGGCGAAAACCUGCUGCUGCUGGAAGGGAGUUGAUGGACACAUCCUCAGUGGUCAACACCCUCUAAGCCUUCCUUGGUAGAGCUGUUUUGCUUUGUGUAAAAUGCUUGAAUAGAUAUUGUAAAAGGGACCAGAGCUUUUCCCUGAAGGUGAGUAAUCUGGUUACUCAUCUACUCACUGUUCUCCCCCUCUCUCCUUUCCAGUGAAUAAUUAUCCCAUGAAAAGUGAGCAUUUAGGGCCUUUUGUGACCCAGGUCAUUGGGAAUUUAUAUCUCACCUAUUGUCAAUGUAUGUCUUUCAGUCAGAUCUGUGCCACUAAGGGCCUGAUUUUUAAGUGUGUUUGGAAACUAUAAGAAGAAGAUGGCGAUACUUAGUGGGAUUUUUAUGAAGUGCCUUUGUGUUCCAAACCCCCAUGGGAAAGCAGCUCCAUCUAACUGUUAAAUCCUGAGAAAUAUCUUAUUUGCAUUAACUAUGCUUGGAGGGUUAAAAAGACAUUAGCAUAACCCUUACAAAUUGUAUAAUGCUAUGGAGUCCCGUGAAUUGCUGAGUGGCCCCUGGAAGAGGUUGGGAUCCUACUCAGGUCUUGCUGCUUCUCCCAGAAGGAUGAGGUUCCACAUUCACACUACAUGUAGAGCAUGCACAAGGUGCAUUGUCCCCAGGGAUGUGAACGUCAAUCGUCAGAUGCCGAUUAGACCAACAUUCAUACCAAGGCAGAGCUAAAAACAAUGUCAGUCAAACUGAACUCAGUGCUCAUUUUAACAAGCAGGUUCACAAAGUCUGGUCCUCCCACGCUGAAAGAAAUAGGAAGAUGUUACAGUAUUUAUAGACUGGAUUUCAAAAAGCAGAAGCAGCUAAUGCACUCUCUUUAUUAAGCACACUCCCCAGUGCCUGCAAAUUGCUGAAUAUUUCAAGCCUUAUUUAAUUUUUAAUACAGCAAUCUGUUACGUAAUCAGAUAUAUUUUGAGGGAAACUUAUUAUUGCGUCUCACAGUCUGACUGGUUUCCCUCUAAGAGGCUGGCAAACUAUUGCAUGUGGUUUUUAUGGGCAGGAACUCCUUUUUUUCAUACCACUGAAGCUGAAAUUAAAAUGUCCUACUCAAUGUAUGGGGUAUAUUAGGCACAAAGAAGCAGUGUCUGACAGAGUGGUGGUAAGGGGACAGAUUAGUUCUUUGUCACACAGGGAAGGAGUGAAGACUUUCUCUUCUGAUAACAAAUUUUAAUGUAAAAAUUGGCUGCUCCACCAUAUCAUCCUCUAUGGCUGCCACACACUUUGGCAAGGUAAGCAGGAGAGAUCAGG